UUCACUUCCUUCUUGCAAGCUGUCUAAAUAACUGGAGUUGGAGUUGCUGCCCAUCUGCAAAAAUGACACAUCUGAGAGGAGGGUCAAAGGUUGGCACCUUGGUGAUGUGUAGGACGACCAGUAUGGCACAGUAAUUGGCUGCUCGUCGUGACAUCGACUCGGCUGCUACCCAGAGAGAGAGCCAAAACACCCACAUGAUUUCUCGAAUCAAACACGGAACACGGUGGAGAUCGGCUGAGGAUUAUUUCAUUAAAGCCAUAAUCCCUUCCGAAGCGUCUAGGAGUCAUGCAUUUCCCAGAAAAAUGAAGUCUUUGGACGUGAUGUGCCGACUGACACCUAUCAGAUCCACUUGAGUGGAUUCAGGCCUGAUAAAGAAUCCAACCUAACGCAGAAGCUUUGGAGAAGACUUCUUUACAGAGGUACUUAGCAAAUCACUCGAGAGCUCCGCAGACACACUAUAGAGCUUCCACAACCAAAACUUUCUCACAAACACUGAAAAUGUAAAGCUAAAGAGGCCGAUCCCACUGAGCAUGUGAACUCGGUAUUUUCCUUCUAAUGUGAAGAACUGGGACAGCAGUGCAGAACCGGCCCAGAUGUAGUGUCUGUGCAUGCUGGAGAAAAUGCAAGUUGGCAUAACUGUGUUUGAGUACGGCCGAGAGCGGCUCAAGAGAUUUCUUUAUUUGGGUUGAGCUGAAAGAUAUCAAAAACGGAUAUCAAACCCCUUUUGCUUAAGUCAGGGGAGACGAAGACAGUCAGCAAAAUUAUCAUUGGCACUUUAAACGUUUUUCUGGUCCAGCACGCUAAACUCAAAUACAUCCUUGUGGUUUCUAACUAGUUGCC
ensembl:lncRNA